GCUACCAUGCAGUCGACGGCAGCACAGAGGAGCUUGCUCCUUGGGUGGCGAGUGGCGGACGGGUGAGGAAUGCAUCGGAAUCUGCCUAUUUGUGGGGGAUAACGUAGGGAAACUUACGCUAAUACCGCAUACGUCCUACGGGAGAAAGUGGGGGACCUUCGGGCCUCACGCAGAUAGAUGAGCCGAUGCCGGAUUAGCUAGUUGGCGGGGUAAAGGCCCACCAAGGCGACGAUCCGUAGCUGGUCUGAGAGGAUGAUCAGCCACACUGGAACUGAGACACGGUCCAGACUCCUACGGGAGGCAGCAGUGGGGAAUAUUGGACAAUGGGCGCAAGCCUGAUCCAGCCAUGCCGCGUGUGUGAAGAAGGCCUUCGGGUUGUAAAGCACUUUUGUCCGGAAAGAAAAGCGCUCGAUUAAUACUCGGGUGUUAUGACGGUACCGGAAGAAUAAGCACCGGCUAACUUCGUGCCAGCAGCCGCGGUAAUACGAAGGGUGCAAGCGUUACUCGGAAUUACUGGGCGUAAAGCGUGCGUAGGUGGUUUGUUAAGUCUGAUGUGAAAGCCCUGGGCUCAACCUGGGAACUGCAUUGGAAACUGGCUUACUAGAGUGCGGUAGAGGGGUGUGGAAUUCCCGGUGUAGCAGUGAAAUGCGUAGAUAUCGGGAGGAACAUCUGUGGCGAAGGCGACACCCUGGACCAGCACUGACACUGAGGCACGAAAGCGUGGGGAGCAAACAGGAUUAGAUACCCUGGUAGUCCACGCCCUAAACGAUGCGAACUGGAUGUUGGGGGCAACUUGGCCCUCAGUAUCGAAGCUAACGCGUUAAGUUCGCCGCCUGGGAAGUACGGUCGC
rnacentral:rRNA from 1 species